AACAUAAGUUACACUGGCUGUGCAAAAAUAAUUAGGUUCAAGUGAUAACUGUGUUUUCUGUGUUUUUCUAGACACCAGUCCACCAACAGUGAAGAUUAUACAACCAAGUGCCUCUCAGGCUUCCACAUCACACUUCCUCGCACUUACUUGCCUGGUGUCAGAAUUUUUCCCAUCCAACAUAAUAGUGUACUGGAAAAAAGAUGGCCAGAGACUCCCUUCAACUGGUUACACUAACAGUCCUGCAUGGAAGUACACCGGGAGCAGCACUUAUUCAAUGAACAGCAGACUAAAUAUAACCAAAACUGUGCACGAGGAGUCCACAUAUUCUUGCGUUGUCAGACAUGAGUCAUCCGAAAUGCCCCUUGAAAGCAGUAUAAAGGAUGUGUUUGACGUAUUGAAGAGCUGUGAUUUUUUUGGAUAAUAUUAUGUAUGCUGAAAGGAUCCAAGACAAAGAUGAGGAAGCUGGUUUAUGGCUUUCACAUUUCUCGUUUUUUUCUCAUCUCUAUCGUCUAUGUGUCCUUGCAACCCUGUUUAAGACUAAAUGAUGGCGAUCACAGAACAGAUCAACUUUCAAGAUCAAAAAGUGAACUUCUGGAGAUUUUUGAUUGUAUCUGGUCUUGUUAAUCUUUAAAUGGGAUAAGAAAUGCUCCCAUCAUUAUGUUCCUUUCAACUGUUUUACAUCUUGUUACUUUUCUACAUGCAAUUCUUUU